AAUGAUGCUGAAAAACAACCCCCGGGGGAGGAACGGGCACCUCCUGGAGGGUUUUGCCAGCGGGGUGAAAUUUUUGGGAGCUGCGCGGGGCCGGCGGCCGACUCAAAGUCCCGCGGGAUCCCUGGGGCUCCUCCAAGUUCAUCAAGCACCUACCUGGGGAAAAAGGAGCAGAGGAGCAGCAGCAGCAGCAGCCCCCCGGGGACAGCGAUGGCCAAACCCCACGGUGACAGCGGGGCCAUGGAAGAGGAGCUGAGGGGGACGAGGAGCACAGGAUUUCCAUCCUCCUAUCCCCACUGGCUCGGCCCGUGGAGGAUUUGGGGUGGGUUGGGGACACCCAGCGCUGCCACCCGGCUGCCCUCGGGCUCCAGGAAGCCGUGCCCUGUCCCGGCUUGCUGGCACACCCCAGCUCGCCCCACAGCUUUCGGUUUUGCCCCAAAAUCCCACAUUUGGGGGCUGCUCUCCCCUUUACAAUGAUAAACGGGGGGGAAAAAUGGGUUGGAGAAGGGGCUGCAUCCCCUUUUGCAUCCCCACUGCGCCCCUGCAGGGCUCCUCCAACCCCACAAGGCUUCCCCUCCCUCUCUAUCGACCCCAUUUCCAUCCUCCCCCAAAUCCCAGCCCCACAUCCCACUGCAGCCUUGCCCAGCAUUCACUCGGGGCCCCCCCAGCAGGGAAGUUUUUGGGAUGGGAGCCCAACAAAUGGGGCCGGGAGCUGCCGAACAGGCUGAGCCCGCUCUGCCAGCCCUGCCCCAGCCCUUCCUGGGUGCUGGCAGCGCCGUCCUGCCCCCCCCGUGCCCAAAGUGGGGAGGGGGGCACCCCAAAUUAUCCCUCCAGCCUCACCCUGGGGCACCCAGGGGUGCCCGCCACCUCCCACCUUACCUCAAUUUCCCCAGCUGCGUGCCGGGCUCGACCCUAAAAUGCCUUCAGCCCCCCAUAACCCAACCUGGGGCACCCCAAAGCUUUGGACACCCCCCGUGCUUCCCCCCGGGGGUGCAAAUCUGCUCACCUGGGUGCUGUGGGACCCCCGGGGUGCCGCGGGUGUCGCCGGCUGCUCGCUCGGCUCAACUUUGGCCGGGAGCUGUGGGUGGCACCCGCCGCGCCCUGUUGGCCUCCUGCGCCUCGCCCGGCCCCACUACACGCUGUCAGCUGCUGUGGGUGUGCACUGGGAGCCCCCAGACCCUAAACCGGCACCCCAAAAGGGUCCUGAGCCCCCACCCCAAGUGCUGUGGGCCCUGUCCUUCCUGGAUCCCAAAAUGUCCUGGAUUUGGUCACUGCGGAUCCUCCUCCAUCCCGGAUCCCUUCCCUUCCCUCCUAUUCAACCCCAUAGCACAUAAUGGCAUCAAAUCAGGGAAAAAGAUGGGUAUUUUCACCCUCUGUGGUUCUCCCUCACCCCCGUCCUCCCACGGGAGAGCCCCAAAACCCAACCCAAAGCUCUGGACAAGCCAACGCAGCCCGGCUCCAAAAAAAAACAAAAAACUUUUUGGCCACGGGCUCGCAUCCAGCCCCCUGCGCCGUUGGGCUGGGGCAGCCCCCAAAACCCUUUUACAUCGCCCCCAGCAGCACCAGGGACAUUUUGCUCCUUGCGAGCCCGCCUGGACGGCGCCCGCGUGUUCUGCAGAGGGCAGCACGACCCAGGAGUUCAUCCCUGACUCCUUCCCGGGGCCAUUUUUGGGUGCAAAUCUGCGAUUUUCAGCCAAGCGCUUGACGGGCGAUUCCCAUGUGGGCGAAGCCUCCUCGCUGCCAAAUUGCUUUACAAAAGCUCUUUGUGAAACCGCAGCUUCUCCGCCUGGUUCUGGAAAUGGAAACCAGGCUGCGAAAGAUGCGGUAGGAGGGGAAGACGAAGUGCUUCGUGCAAGAAAAACACCUGGAGAAGACACGGAGCCAUCCCACCUGCAGACAUCACUGCCUCCUCGCCAGCUCCUUCCAACCCCGAGCAUCUCGGGGUGGAAAAGCAGCCCAAAGAUUUUGGCACCCUGA
rnacentral:lncRNA from 1 species